UGUAACAAUUAUACUGUGAAACUGCGAAUGGCUCAUUAAAUCAGUUAUCGUUUAUUUGAUAGUACCUUACUACUUGGAUAACCGUGGUAAUUCUAGAGCUAAUACAUGCUAAAAACCUCGACUUCGGAAGGGGUGUAUUUAUUAGAUAAAAAACCAAUGCCCUUUGGGGCUCCUUGGUGAUUCAUAAUAACUUAACGAAUCGCAGAGCCUUGUGCUGGCGAUGGUUCAUUCAAAUUUCUGCCCUAUCAACUUUCGAUGAUAAGGUAGUGGCUUAUCAUGGUGUCAACGGGUAACGGGGAAUUAGGGUUCUAUUCCGGAGAGGGAGCCUGAGAAACGGCUACCACAUCCAAGGAAGGCAGCAGGCGCGCAAAUUACCCAAUCCCGACUCGGGGAGGUAGUGACAAUAAAUACUGAUACAGGGCUCUUUUGGGUCUUGUAAUUGGAAUGAGUACAAUUUAAAUCCCUUAACGAGGAACAAUUGGAGGGCAAGUCUGGGGCCCGCAGCCGCGGUAAUUCCAGCUCCAAUAGCGUAUAUUAAAGUUGUUGCAGUUAAAAAGCUCGUAGUUGAACCUUGGGCCUGGCUGGCCGGUCCGCCUCACCGCGUGCACUGGUCCGGCCGGGUCUUUCCUUCUGGGGAGCCGCAUGCCCUUCACUGGGUGUGUCGGGGAACCAGGACUUUUACUUUGAAAAAAUUAGAGUGUUCAAAGCAGGCCUAUGCUCGAAUACAUUAGCAUGGAAUGAUAAAACAGGACGUUGCAGUUCUAUUUUGUUGGUUUCUAGAACCGCCGUAAUGAUUAAUAGGGAUAGUUGGGGGCAUCAAUAUUCAAUUGUCAGAGGUGAAAUUCUUGGAUUUAUUGAAGAUUAACUACUGCGAAAGCAUUUGCCAAAGAUGUUUUCAUUAAUCAGUGAACGAAAGUUAGGGGAUCGAAGACGAUUGUGGUUUCUGGUCGUCAAUAAUUAAAAGUUAAGCAAACUUUUUAUUACGCUAGACACCUCCUGCGAGGUAUAGCGAACACCAUCAAAUUGCAGGAACACCCUAAAGACGUCUACUACGAUACACCGGCUCGAAAGAGUGGUGCUCAAAACAGUUAAUUGUUUGAGGCGUAAAAAUGUAGCGUAUGAUGUUCUUCGGAGCAGAAAUGGGUAACCCGCAGCCAAGCCCUAAAAUAUAUCUCUCGAUAUAUCAAGGGUGCUGUCCACAGACUAAACGUUGGUGGGAGGUUGAUAGCAACCUUCUAAGAUAUAGUCGAGGCCUGGGUCCAAAGCCCGGGAAGUACCGCAGAUACCGUCGUAGUCUUAACCAUAAACUAUGCCGACUAGGGAUCGGGCGAUGUUAUUUUUUUGACUCGCUCGGCACCUUACGAGAAAUCAAAGUCUUUGGGUU
rnacentral:rRNA from 1 species